GUGAAUCAUCGAAUUUUUGAACGCAAAUUGCACUCUCCUCGGGGAGUAUGCCUGUUUGAGGGUCAGCCUAUAAAAAAUCGACAUCGUUGCUGUUUCGCGGUGACGUUCGUCGGAAGUUGGGGCAUCUUAAAUCCUUUUGGUUUUAAGCGACUUAAAAUUUUCUUUUUUGUUCCAUGAACGUUGCUACGAUUUAUUUCUUUACACGUUUAAGGGCAUCGAUUUUUAUUAAACGUGACCAUCAUAUCGGAUCGCGUCCAUAAUCUUUCAUUAACUUACCUUAGACAGGUAAGAGUACCCGCUU
rnacentral:misc_RNA from 1 species